UACAGAGGGGGCAAGCGUUAUUCGGAAUUACUGGGCGUAAAGGGCGCGUAGGCGGCGCGGUAAGUCACUUGUGAAAUCUCUGAGCUUAACUCAGAACGGCCAAGUGAUACUGCAGUGCUAGAGUGCAGAAGGGGCAAUCGGAAUUCUUGGUGUAGCGGUGAAAUGCGUAGAUAUCAAGAGGAACACCUGAGGUGAAGACGGGUUGCUAGGCUGACACUGACGCUGAGGCGCGAAAGCCAGGGGAGCAAACGGG
rnacentral:rRNA from 1 species